GACGAACGCUGGCGGCGUGCUUAACACAUGCCAGUCGAACGGAAAGGCCCUGCUUGCAGGGUACUCGAGUGGCGAACGGGUGAGUAACACGUGGGUGAUCUGCCCUGCUCUUCGGGAUAAGCUUGGGAAACUGGGUCUAAUACCGGAUAGGAACCAUCUUUAGUGUGGUGGUUGGAUAGUUUUUCCGGUGUAGGAUGAGCUCGCGGCCUAUCAGCUUGUUGGUGGGGUAAUGGGCUACCAAGGCGGCGACGGGUAGCCGGCCUGUGAGGGUGUACGGCCACAUUGGGACUGAGAGACGGCCCAGACUCCGACGGGAGGCAGCAGGGGGGAAGAUUGCACAAGGGGCGCAAGCCGGAUGCAGCGAGGCCGCGGGUGGGAUGAAGGCCUUCGGGGUGAAGACUCAUUUCGCUAGUGACGAAGCUUUUUGUGACGGUACCUAGAUAAGAAGCACCGGCUAACUACGUG
rnacentral:rRNA from 1 species